GGGGCCGUAGCUCAGUGGCAGAGCGCCCGCCUCGCAAGCGGGAGGCCGCCGGUUCAAAUCCGGCCGGGUCCA
rfam:Halorientalis sp. IM1011, complete genome.